ensembl:lncRNA novel transcript
GGUGAAUACUGUGCUGAAGCCAGGAUCUUGUCCUCCCUGGGAAGAAGAAACAAGAUGGCUGCCUUCCCAGUGUCCCCAGAGUGGUUGGUGACAACUCAAUAAUGACUCUUCCUUAAUGGUAUGAAGAGAGGAAUUGUAAGAUUAUGAGGAAACUUGCCACAAUCAUCCAAGAAUUUAAAAUAUCCAUUUGAAGUCUGGGAAGUGGAGCCAGGAAGCACGUUUUGGAUGGGCACUCCUGGAAGAGAGCAUCUCUGUGUGCCUAGAAGGAGAAGAGCUUUGCAAUUCUUUUUUAUGAACCAUGUGACGAAGAUGUACCAAGAACUGCUUCUAUCAGUGAAGGAGACAGCCUGGUUUCAGAGGAAAUGCAUUUACAGUGAUUCUUUGCUUUUAGACAUUCAGCAAAAGAGUGCUGUGACGAGAACUGGGCAGAACAUCAGCUCAUCAGAAGCAGUGACAUCCAAGAGCCCAGAGGAGCCUGAAGAACAAUUGAGAGAAGCCUCCUUUGCCAACGCGUUGCCCACCAGGGCUGCACGUGGUACCCUUGCUCCAAGAUGCUUCCCAAAAACACCAGGACCAGGCAGUUAAAUGGCACUUGUACCAGCUCGGUGGACAUGGAGCUCUUCCUUCAUUAUUCCCUCAUCCCAUCACUCUUCAUCAUGUUGAUCUUGUCCUUCCUUCAAAGAUGAGAGCAUUGUAGACAGAGAGAUGAUACCUCUUACCUGCUGGGGAACUGCUUUGGCAUUAUCAUGCCUCUGGACUUCGUGGGCACUUUCAGUAACCGAUGGUCCUAUGGAAUCACCUUUGGGGCCACAGCUAAUAAGGUCAUGUUUUUGUUCUCAGAAGGCUACCAGCCCCUGCAGAUCCCGCAGUGGGCCCAAGCCUUUGAGCUUCUGAUUGGAGGCAUUGAAGUCGGCCUGUCCCACUUCCCCUUCUUUGCCUGCCUCUCGUCGGAAUUCCAGCUGGUCAGCUCCAUCUUGGGCUUCUGCUACUCUGAUCUGGUUUGCUGUCACCAUUAUUCAAGUUUCACAGUGUCCCCACGGGCAGACAAUCCUUCCUGACGACAUGUCUGAAUGAAAGUAAGAUGGAGUCUCUCAAGCUGGAGUGCAGUGGCGUGAUCUCGGCUCACUGCAACCUCUGCCUCCCGGGUUCAAGUGAUUCCUCCAGCUCAGCCUCCCAAGUAGCUGGGAUUACAGGAUUCCAUAUCAGGAUACCACAGGACACUGAGUCCUUAGGUUCUUCCCGGCUGUGAUCGUUUCUCAGGCCUACAUUGUUUUUGAUGACCUUGAUGGUUUUAGGGGGUACUAGUCAGGUGUUUUUGGGAACUGUUUCUCAGCUGAGGUUUGUCUGAUGUAGUGGGAUUAUUAGUUUUGGGAGGGAACAUGUCAAGGUAAAAUGCCAUUCUCAUCCUGUCGUAUGAUACACACUUUCAACUUGACUGAUCACUGCUCACACUGGCCUUGAUCACCUGGCUGAGACAGUGUUUGUUAGGUUUCUCCAACGUGAAGUUACUCUUUUUCCUCCUUUGCUAUACUGAGUUCUUGGUAGGAUGUCAUUAUGUGAAGCCCACAGUUUAGAAGUGGGGAGUGAUGCUCUGCUUCCUGGAGUGUCUGAUCUCCUUUUGAAAUGAUUUUUCAUGCUGAACACAGAGUAAUUAAAGUAAGAAAAAUACGGAUAUUGAAUGACUAGUUGCAAGAAGUCCAUUAUGACAUCUGACAUGAAAAAUUAUCUAUCUACCUGUCUAUUAAACGAUUAUAUCUGUGUAUACAAACAUUAAAUACUAAGCUAUGCAGUAUCGUCUUUACUGAAGGUAAAGGUCAUUAGAUUAUAUGCCAUGCAGUGAACUGAGAAAUAUCUCAUUUUUCAGACCUAAAUCCCAUCAUUUCUUCAGAAUACCAACUCUUUAUAGAAUGUUGUUUUGGGAGAAGUUUAUAUUGGUGAAAGUUUACUUUGACAUAUCUAUGGGAUAAGACGAC